AAAAUCCUUCUUGACCCCAGAAUGCAAGUCAGAUUUAUCCUUGGAUCAAGCAGCUAUUACCCUACAUUGAAAAAUUACAUCCUUCAAUAUUCUGUUUUUGCAGGUAUGCAUCUAGUUGCUGUUUGAACAUCUGUAUGGACUCUAAUAAAACCACUUCUUCAGGCAGGUAAUUCCACAUCCUUAUUGUUCUUACAGUAAAAAAAACCUUUACUUUGCCUUAGACGAAAUCAUUUUUCUUCCAGUCUAAACGCAUGACCUCGUGUCCUAUGUAAAGUCCGGUUUGUGAAUAGAUUUCCACACAAUGGUUUGUAUUGGCCCCAAAUAUAUUUGUAUAAUAAUAUCAUAUCCUCUCUCAGGCCACAUUUUUCUAAACUAAAGAGGUUUAAAUUUGUUAACUUUUUUU